rnacentral:misc_RNA from 1 species
GGGUUUUAUGAGAAGGUGAUUCUGCAUGGAAAAUAUUCAUAUUUCUGUUUUUGCUUUUACUUGUUGUUCCUGUAUGGUUUAUUUAUGUAAACCUUUGGUGUAAAGUUUGAACCUCCCAAACACAUGCAUUCACACAUAUUUUACUGUAUGAAGUUAUGAACCAAACACUGAGUUGGUGUCCUGUCUUAUAAAUUUAUAAUCAUAUUUCUAAUGAGAAAUGUCAAAUAUGUAAAGAAAGAUUUAAGUUGAGAAGUCAAACAAAAGAUUUGUUAGAGAUAAGUUUUGCUUGAAAUUUCUUUAUGCAAAAAGCAGUAAAGAUGAAGACUUGUGUGCAUCAGAAACUGGAAAAAAAAUGAGGAAAAGAGUGGUGAGCAGUUGGAGAGGAGAAAUGGAAUAGGAAGGAAAAGAGAUGUUCUCCAUUAAAAAAAAGAGAAAUGGAGAGAGAGAGAGAGAG